ACCGCCGGCGUCCGCCAUGGGGCCGGCUCAGCCUCAGCUUCUGAUCGAGGUGCAGCUCCAGCAGCACCGGCAGUUUGCUGCAGGUCAUCAGCAGAGCGCAGUUCAUCUUCCAAAUCAUGCCCCGACCCCGGCUGCAUCUCCCCUUCCGCUACACGAACGCCUUGGGUGCGGUCUUUAGUCCUCACUGGUGAGCCCCUCCAUAUUAUUUUGUAUAGGGCUUCAGCCGCUGCUGCUUGCUUCUGUUUUAGGUGGUUGCCGCUUUGACAGGCGUUUGUGAAGCGAAUCAGGUUCGUUCUUCGGUCCGUUGAAGUGGCAGGGGAUUGUUCCGGACGUGGGACUCUGAGGCGCCCCUUCUUCGUGGGUAUUUUGCUGCUGCUUUUGUUUCUUCAUUGGAUAUGCCUCCAAUUUAAGCGCGCUGGCGAUGGCAAGAAGUUCGGCGUGGAAAACGACCAGCUGGUUCCUUUCGUGGUAUUUGACCGGCUGUGCAGUCGAGUAGUGUGACCUGACGAUUUUUUUAUUUCCGUCUUUGGUUUCCGGUUCUGAUGGUCUGGGGUGAUCUCUGCUCCCUGUGCAAUGUGAUCUUAUAAUCUACUCCCUCCGUUCCUUUAUAUGUACUAAGAGAAGCAUCUGACAUGUCCGUGCUGUACCGUCCCUGUUUCUCUUCUGGUCGACACUCUGGUUCUUUGCAUAGUGUUGUUCCGAUUUUGUAGGCUGAUUGUAACCGGAAUGAAAACCGCAGUUGUUAGGAAUAUCUUUUUGUUUUUACUGAGUGAAGCUACACCAGCCUCCUCGAAUCGAUGAUCAUGUAAGCAUCUAGCAGUCUUGAAUGUCACUCUCCC
rnacentral:rRNA from 1 species